GAGCGGCGUGGGGAAGUGCUCGGUGUUGGCAGUCCGAGGAUUACACGCGUCAUCGGAGUUUCAUGGUGCGUGACGUCAUUUAUGGACAGCCCCUAAAGGGAAAACCCGGAGGACUCGGAUACAAUCCAUGCGACCACGGGGAGAAAAUGC